UUUUGGUUCGAUCUGUUUGCUUCUCACCCUGAUCCAAAUGUUUAGAUAGUGAGCAAAUUUCAUCUGAUUUCAGAUUAAUUAAGCACCGUCUGAACUACUGUGGUCGAUAGAGUUUAAAUCCGAUCAAUUUAAAUUUGUCUCAAAACUCUAACUAUGGAACUCGGAUAUAUGCACACGUUUUAUUAAAGGAAAACAGACAGAUGAAAUCUAGUUCUUUUUAUUGAUUUGGUCUUAUCUUUCCACCGCUCUUCCAAUUCUUUAUCCAUUAUCUAUGUUGCUUCUCACAAGUUCCAGUCAAUGUCUGAUAUUUGAAAUUCUAGCUCAUGUCUUCCCUUAUCCUUAUCGUAUGUGUCUUCCGUGGAGAAAAAAAUCCCACCGCUGUACCAGUUCCAUACCCUUCGUAACUAGUUGUACCCAAAAUUUUGUUACCAGGGACACGUCUCCUUCACGUAUUUUCUCCACACGACAGCAGGCACUCGUUCUCACCUCCCCCUCCAUCGCGCGCAGGCGCUGUUCGCUCGCCGUGGAGCUCCCCUGCUGGCGCGCCGGUUCCCUGCUCCGUGGUGCUCGCCGGCGUUUCCUCCAGCAUGUCCCAUGGUUGUCCAGCCCCCACCUCCAUGAUGGCCGAGCUCUCUCUCUCUCCCACGGUCGUCUCCCUCCCCUGCUCGUCCAUGGUGUCCGGUCGCUGCUCGGAUUUUGUCCGUGCCGAGCUCCCUUCGUCACGCCCCUGCUCCUUGUCUCACACGCGUCCCUGCUCCAGUCUUAUCCAUGGUCGCUCCUCUCCUUUCCCUGAUUAAUACUAGGCGCAGCAGCAACAUGCCAGAUCUCUAUAGCCCAGGUGAGACCAACUGCUUGUGUCCUGUUUAUUCCCCACCGAUUCCUAUAUUUGAUUAUUUACUGUAUAUGUUUGUGUGUUUGUGGUGGAGGUAAAUCCUAGGAAAUUUAGAUGAGAAGAAAGCUUUAGCGAGGCGCUUGCCAAGUGCUUGGUGAAUCGCUUCAACCGGAUGCGGUUGUCGAUCUCGCGGAGUCGAGUCGAGUUUAGUCGUGGUACGUUAACUAAUCGCAUGGUAUGGAGGACAAGAGAUGGAUUGAUCAUAAGACGAUGCUGAUGGACGAAACUAAAGUGGAUGAAUCAACCAAAUGCCAGGAUGGGGGGUGCUCGUCAAGCGAGUAUCAUUUAACAACACUAACGUAGUGUUAUACCAGGCAAGCCCCGGUGCAUUUGCCACCUUCCUUGUGUUUACAAAAUUUUAUCACUUAUAUGCUGCAUUAGGUGAUAGGAGUUGAGUGAUUAAACACUUGAUGCAUUACCAUCCUUGAAAGGUUGAUUACCACACCUUGUCACCCGUUUUAUAAAAGCUAGAGAUGCUUAGUCUUGCUGAUAGAUUAAGAAACAUAUUUUUGAUCUAUGACUCAUGUUUUUACAAAAAAAGAAAAUGGGCUUGGGAUAAUGAAAGCAUCAAGACGUUGAUAAAUUCAUUAUCCAGGCAUGGCCCCUCUGUCAGGCGCCAAAUUUUUGAAAUAGUUUAAAAUGGGACCAGACGUUGAGCAGGAAAGGUCGCCCGUCUGUGUCGAUUAAGGACCGUACCGAUUGUUGGCCUGAUGAUCUAGGACCUUUUAACUGGCCACAUACCUCGUCAUGGGUAAGCCUGAACCCGGCUAUUCCAUACGUGAAAAGACAACCGCGCACUGGGCGUGGGAGAUGGUGGGAGUAGCAGUUACCCUCCUGGCAAGAGGCUGGAUGGUAGGGUAAUGUGCUCCCAGGUAGCACGGACCGGUUCAUGUAGUGGAGGAUCCGUGGGAAUGGUUGACAUAUGCAAGGGUCAAGUGCUACAUAUGUCGUGUGGUUGGAGAUCCCCAGCUGGGUAUUAAUCGAUUCGGAUCGCCGUUACUUCUCGGAUAUGAAGACUGGAUCGCUGCCCUUCAUCGUAGAUAACAAGCGAAACAAAAAUUUGAUUUUAAAAGAAAGUUAGUGUAGGAUAAGUGAAUGCUCUAGAUUAGGUAAAUCUAGAUUCAGGAAAAGUAUUUAACUUGUGAUGUAAAACUUUGGCAUAAGGAUCCACUACUAGUAAGCUUUUCUGCAAAAAUGAGUCUUUGAAAUUUGAUAAGCUUUACCUUGAUUCCCGACAAACCAACAUAUCCUUGAGAGUCUUUUCUUUAGUCGGGUAAGUCUUGCUGAGUAAUUCCAUACUCAGGGUUUUAUUCCCUGUUGUUUUCAGGUUGUAAUUUUGUUCUGUUGUGGAUGGUGCUAAGUGCCGGUGGGCUCGGCCUUCUUAUAUAAGUAUAUCCCUUCUAUAGUUUCUUUAAUGAGGAUUGUCACUUAAGCUAGCAUGUAUUUUCAAAUUUACGAAUACUUUAUAACAUUUCAAAUUGUAAUUCUUUUGAAUCACUUUCUUUUGUAAUCUUUUGUAAUCACUCCGAUGAGGUAUAAUAAUAUCUUGAUAAACUUGUAAUCA